AGCAGUGAGGAAGGUGGGUAUGUUAAUAGCAUACUCAUUUUGACGUUAGCUGCAGAAGAAGCACCGGCUAACUCCGUGCCAGCAGCCGCGGGUAAUACGGAGGGGUGCGAGCGUUAAUCGGAAUUACUGGGCGUAAAGCGCAUGCAGGUGGUUUGUUAAGUCAGAUGUGAAAGCCCGGGGCUCAACCUCGGAAUUGCAUUUGAAACUGGCAAACUAGAGUACUGUAGAGGGGGUAGAAUUUCAGGUGUAGCGGUGAAAAUGCGUAGAGAUCUGAAGGAAUACCGGUGGCGAAGGCGGCCCCCUGGACAGAUACUGACACUCAGAUGCGAAAGCGUGGGGAGCAAACAGGAUUAGAUACCCUGGUAG
rnacentral:rRNA from 1 species